rnacentral:tRNA from 1 species
GGGGGAUUAGCCCAGCUGGCUAGAGCGCUAGAUUUGCAUUCUAGAGGUCAAGGGUUCGACUCCCUAUAUCCUCCACCA